rnacentral:rRNA from 1 species
UACGAAGGGGGCUAGCGUUGUUCGGAAUCACUGGGCGUAAAGGGCGCGUAGGCGGCUUUGUAAGUCGGGGGUGAAAGCCUGUGGCUCAACCACAGAAUUGCCUUCGAUACUGCAUGGCUUGAGACCGGAAGAGGUAAGUGGAACUGCGAGUGUAGAGGUGAAAUUCGUAGAUAUUCGCAAGAACACCAGUGGCGAAGGCGGCUUACUGGUCCGGUUCUGACGCUGAGGCGCGAAAGCGUGGGGAGCAAACA